UGUAACCAUUCGGCCCAUGUUUAAGGACUUCGCGGGCUAUUAAAUUGACCCGAGUCUGAAUAGAGAGUCCAGGUUUCACUUUAGGCAAAACUUGAAUGGUUUGAUUCUCUUUAUUUUUCAGUCAAGGAUUUGGAUGGAUCAACUCUGUAGCUGCCGAAGCAACAUGCCGGAGAGACGACUUCAGCUUUGGAACACGAUCUACCAGGCUUAAAGACUUUCAGAGCAUUUGCAGUAUAGCCUUAUAGGUGCUGGAGUCCUUGGGCUUAGUAGCUUUGCAAACAUUGCUUAAACGGGAUAGGAUGCGUCAUGGUCACCAAGAGCAUGGAUAUUUCCACUGAGAGUCGCUAAUUUCUGUUGUUAUCUUGUUGAAAUGGCAUAUGCAUUGGGGAAUUGAAGAAGAAACUAAGGCCAUGGUGGCAGAAAUUGACGAUGAGGCUAAUGAUGAAGGUUAGAUGUUCACUCGACCUGGAAAACUGAGUGGAUCGAGUUCCACAGCCUUAUGCUAAUGAAGCAGCUUCCGGCUUUGAUAAUGACGGAGCCUAUCCUCCUGAUCUACGUCUUAUGACUUAGGUACAUGUAAGAUAUGAAACCGAAGACUAAAUGAUUUAAACCUUCUAAUUUCUUUUGCAAUAUGGAGAAAGGAUCAUCUCUGCUAUAGCAAACAUUACAUGGAAUAAUAACUGAUUCCCUCGCAUAAGCAAUGCUGUAAGAAGAAAAGAAAAGGACCACACAAGGAGCCAGAAUGAUCAUUCUUCAUGUGGUAGUAUGUGCUCAAGAACCUGACUCUGGUGCGCUCAGUUACUGCGGUGAACCGAAGCUUGGCCCGUUUGAAUCCUCCUUUACCUGCAGAUUCAUAGGGGACUCGCAAAGUGAUCUUUCCAGCAAAUGCCUCUAUAAGCAUAGACCCUUGGCAGGAAUUGCUUGCAUCUCCAACUGAGAACAUAAGGUCAUACACUUUUCCCUUUUGAGUCCUCACUAUUUGUGCUAUUGCGCUUUCUCUUCCAGCCACAAGCUCGAUGGCGCGUUUGCCCUCUGGCACGGUGAAGUGUUCAGCAUCAAUGUAUUUUACUGCCUUGAGAGAUUCAAUCAUCCAUCCAGGCAAAGGUGAGUGAUCAUCCUCGAUGUUUGGAGGAAUUAGAACACCCCAGCUUGUGUUGGGGAAGAUAUAUGGACCCUCUUCAAAGUUUCCGUUCUUCAACAUGUUGCCUACUUUCAAUUUUAUGCAUUAGAAUUUAAAGUUUAACUUUUAGACACAUAGUAUAAAAGUUUUACAUGGCCCUCCAACUUAAAUGCACAUUGACGAGAGAGGAGGGGAAAUUACCUCUUUGUCUAUGUGGGUUUUUUAGAGCUUUGAGAGCGAUGAAAUCAAUGAGUGGGCCACAAGCUGGGUCCUUCUCAACUGCUGGAUUGUGUAAAGUGAUUUCAAUCUCAUUAGCUUGAGCCAAGAAACCCCAUGAAUAGGAGUCCCAACCAUCACUACUAUACAUAGUCUGCAUAGGAAGCAUUCCCCAGUCAUUAGGUUCAGUGUUAGGCGACACCGACACAUUGAGUUUCUCUUCUUGAGCACAAGUCCUAGCAAAGUUGAAAGACAGAGAGUAGAAAGACCCACUAGUGACAUUCGUGACUCUGGUCUUGAUGGAGGCGUCUUCCCCAAGCCUAACAGCGAAAGCUCCUUCAGGCACGGGAAGCAACAUAUCACCUUGUGUUUGUCCUGAUCUAAUGUAUUCUACAUAGCCUGAUAUUUCCCAGUGAGGUAUUGCGUGUGGGUCUGUCACUUUUGUGCCCUUCAUUUGUGAUGCUUUUGGACCUUGCUCGAAGUUUCCAUUAGGCAAUAAUCCUGAUCAAUCACAAGGUCGAAAGGUUACAUAUAUAACCAAUUUCAAGUAAGUGUGGAUUUAUAACUUGCAAGACAUGAUAAAUGACCUAUUACAGCAGGUAUAGCUACACUAAUAUGUGAAUUUUUUUGUGUUACCUGUGUAUAUAAGUUUAAGAUUAUAUCAUCAAAUGUUCUUUAACAUAUCAAGUAGACCUUGCUAGGUCGUUAAUUGCCAUUGGAUGAUCACAUCACAUGUCGUGUUUCAGUAAUCACGUGAACAAAGUAAGAGCAGAUCAUUAGGUACUUUUGUUUUCUCAUUUUUGUGCCCUAUUAACUUCAUGUAACAUGGCUUGAAUGAGGAAUAAACCUAAAUUGGUAAAGCUUACCAGCUAUGUUUUUCA